UGCACAUUCCAAGGCACACCCAGGAGAAUUAAUAUAAUAGAUUUGAGUCAAAGGACCAGGUUUCAGGACAAUUCAGUAUGGAAUGAUUUAGAUCAGACUCUUACCAACAUUUUUACUUCUUUACUGAUCCAUUCAUUUUAAUAGCUGUUGAUACCAGUGCCAAGAUAGGGCAAAGGAACUGCAUAAGAGAUUGCAUCACCUGUUUCCCAAGGGUUCUGAGUUUUCAGCUAUUGAAUCCUACUUCUUUUGAUCAGUCGGCAAAAGGACAUUCACAUUGCCUGGAUUGAACCACUUAUUAAAAAAAGAACAUGCCAGGUCAAUCAGAAGAGUAUUAUACUUCCUUUCUUCUGGCAGACCAGUAUACAGCAAUUACAGCUGGAGUAGCAAGAUUCUGUGCUGCAGCAUGCAAACUGAAGAUGGGAGCUGUUGAUUAAUUGUAAUUGCGACCUCUCUAUGUAAAUGUUUUGAUACUCUAUUACCCAGUCCUGCUUUUGAUUUGAUUUUACUUUAAUUUUAUUUUCCAUUUUAUUUUUUGAUUGACAGUCACUGAUUGUAAUAAUGAAUUCAUUUAUCCUCGUUAAACAGACAUGAAGUCUGGGGCUACACCAAGUUUCACAAACAAAGUAAAAUAUACUUGUCCUAAAUUAUUUGGCAUACCUAAGAGCUACAUAUAAAAGGAAGGACAAAACUUCCAGUGUUGUAUUUAACAACUGACUGAAACAAAAACAUUGUAAUGAAGAUUAUGUGCCAUGCCUAGCAGAUUCUCCAUUUCCAUCUUAUGUAAAUAAUAAAAUUGUUCUUACUUGUUUUACACUCUAA